rnacentral:rRNA from 1 species
GAUGAACGCUGGCGGCGUGCCUAAUACAUGCAAGUCGAACGCACAGCGAAAGGUGCUUGCACCUUUCAAGUGAGUGGCGAACGGGUGAGUAACACGUGGAUAACCUACCUCAAGGUUGGGGAUAACAUUUGGAAACAGAUGCUAAUACCGAAUAAAACUUAGUAUCGCAUGAUACCAGGUUAAAAGGCGCUACGGCGUCACCUAGAGAUGGAUCCGCGGUGCAUUAGUUAGUUGUGGGUAAAGGCGUUACCAAGACAAUGAUGCAUAGCCGAGUUGAGAGACUGAUCGGCCACAUUGGACUGAGACACGGCCCAAAACUCCUACGGGAGGCUGCAGUAGGGAAUCGUUCCAC